rnacentral:rRNA from 1 species
UACGGGGGGAGCAAGCGUUGUUCGGAUUUACUGGGCGUAAAGGGCGCGUAGGCGGCCUGAUCAGUCGGGGGUGAAAGCCUGUGGCUCAACCACAGAAUGGCCUUCGAUACUGUCGGGCUUGAGACCGGAAGAGGUAAGUGGAACUGCGAGUGUAGAGGUGAAAUUCGUAGAUAUUCGCAAGAACACCAGUGGCGAAGGCGGCUUACUGGUCCGGAUCUGACGCUGAGGCGCGAAAGCGUGGGGAGCAAACAGG